rnacentral:rRNA from 1 species
CCUACGGGAGGCAGCAGUGGGGAAUUUUGGACAAUGGGCGCAAGCCUGAUCCAGCAAUGCCGCGUGCAGGAUGAAGGCCUUCGGGUUGUAAACUGCUUUUGUACGGAACGAAACGGCCCUUUCUAAUACAAGGGGCUAAUGACGGUACCGUAAGAAUAAGCACCGGCUAACUACGUGCCAGCAGCCGCGGUAAUACGUAGGGUGCGAGCGUUAAUCGGAAUUACUGGGCGUAAAGCGUGCGCAGGCGGUUAUAUAAGACAGAUGUGAAAUCCCCGGGCUCAACCUGGGACCUGCAUUUGUGACUGUAUAGCUAGAGUACGGUAGAGGGGGAUGGAAUUCCGCGUGUAGCAGUGAAAUGCGUAGAUAUGCGGAGGAACACCGAUGGCGAAGGCAAUCCCCUAGGACCUGUACUGACGCUCAUGCACGAAAGCGUGGGGAGCAAACAGGAUUAGAUACCCUGGUAGUCCACGCCCUAAACGAUGUCAACUGGUUAGUUGGGUCUUCACUGACUCAGUAACGAAGCUAACGCGUGAAGUUGACCGCCUGGGGAGUACGGCCGCAAGGUUGAAACGUCGAAAGGAUUGACGG